rnacentral:misc_RNA from 1 species
GAGCGUCAUUACGACCCUCAAGCCUCAGUUGCUUGGUAUUGGGAGCUUACCCUGUAGUAACUCCUCAAAGUCAGUGGCAGAGCUGUGGAACACUCUAAGCGUAGUAAUUCUUCUCGCUUCUGCAGUGGCCGCGGCGAUCGCCGUAAGCCUAUUUUUUAAAGGUUGACCUCGGAUCAGGUAGGAAUACCCGCUGAACUUAA